rnacentral:rRNA from 1 species
UACGGAGGGUGCAAGCGUUAUCCGGAAUUACUGGGUGUAAAGGGUUCGUAGGCGGUGCGGCAAGUUGGGAGUGAAAUCUCUGGGCUUAACCCAGAGGCUGCUUCCAAAACUGCUGUGCUUGAGUGUGGGAGAGGCGCGUGGAAUUGCAGGUGUAGCGGUGAAAUGCGUAGAUAUCUGCAGGAACACCCGUGGCGAAAGCGGCGCGCUGGACCACUACUGACGCUGAGGAACGAAAGCUAGGGGAGCAAACAGG